UCCGAGUUGACCCCGGCAGUCUCCUACGAGUCCCCGGCAUAACCCGCUGGCAACAUAGAACGAGGGUUGCGCUCGUUGCGGGACUUAACCCAACAUCUCACGACACGAGCUGACGACAACCAUGCACCACCUGUAUACGAGUGUCCAAAGAGCUGACCAUUUCUGGCCCAUUCUCGUACAUGUCAAGCCUUGGUAAGGUUCUUCGCGUUGCAUCGAAUUAAUCCGCAUGCUCCGCCGCUUGUGCGGGCCCCCGUCAAUUCCUUUGAGUUUUAGCCUUGCGGCCGUACUCCCCAGGCGGGGCGCUUAAUGCGUUAGCUGCGGCACAGAGACCGUGGAAUGGCCCCCACACCUAGCGCCCACCGUUUACGGCGUGGACUAC
rnacentral:misc_RNA from 1 species